rnacentral:rRNA from 1 species
UACAGAGGGGCGAGCGUUAUUCGGAAUUAUUGGGCGUAAAGGGCGCGUAGGCGGCUUUUCAAGUGACGGGUGAAAUCCCUCGGCUUAACCGAGGAACUGCCUGUCAGACUGGAAGGCUUGAGACCGGAAGAGGUAAGUGGAACUGCGAGUGUAGAGGUGAAAUUCGUAGAUAUUCGCAAGAACACCAGUGGCGAAGGCGGCUACUGGACCACUCGUAGUACGCUGAGGUGCGAAAGCGUGGGGAGCAAACAGGGAUUAGA